CCGUUCGGAGCUGAUCCUGGUCUGUUGGAGUAAAGAUGCAUCUAAAAGUUGCAGGAUGGUAGCUCUCGAGGACUGGAUGUGAGCACCCUUGGUUUAUUAACUUUGUUAGCAGCUAAAGCUAGCCAAGCAGGUGUAGCAUGGGGUGUCGGUGGUUAAACGGACAUUAAAACUGUCAGAAAGGCCGUUUGAGUUAACAUUAUUUAGCUGCGGAGUCGUUUUCUUGAAGUUUUCGGCUAUAGACGGCAUAAUGGGGAGAGUGGCUGUGCUGGACCGGUGGUUUGAUCUAUGCGAGCAAAGCUGAGCCAAAAUGUUUUUGUCUCUAUAAAUAAUAAAUAAUGACAUUGGCUGCCUCUUUUUUCUUCAUUAGUACUUCAUGUUGGUGACUGAAGCCUGUUAUGAUGACUUCUUGUCUUCUUGAGACAUAAUGUUUCUAUAAGCUGACUAAUUUCUAUAAUGCCUAAUGUCUGAGUUGUGUUCAUGGUAAUUAUUUCUGACAUUUUUAUGCUUUAUGUUGUAGGUGGUAAAAAAUGCUCUCCAGGGUAAACCGGGUGGACAAAGUAUGUUGGCUGGGAAAACCAGGCAUUCUUCCAUUGGUUCAUGUGCUUCGUCCUACAUCCAAAGGCCACAAGAAGAAUCCAAAACAGCUCAUGUCAAACUGUGGACCAUGUUUUCAGAUAUGUGCAGAUGCAAGCCAGCUUUGAAACCUUCCUCAUUGCCGUGCAACCAGGACAGCCCGUCCUCCUGCAUGUUGGUGAAAACAAGAGCAGCACCAAAGACACUUCACAAGAUCAUCCAAGGUAACUUUUGAUGAACUUUGAAAGCACACUUCUCAUUCAACUUCUGUACAACUUCUGUACAUUAAUCCAGCCUACAGUUUUCAACAUUGAUGUGACUUGCACGACAAUUGAGGAGAUUAAGAUCCUUGCUUUUUCUUUACCUGGCAG